rnacentral:rRNA from 1 species
AGGUAAGCUACUAAGAGCGAAUGGUGGAUGCCUUGACUGGUAAAGGCGAUGAAGGACGUACUAGACUGCGAUAAGCUACGGGGAGCUGUCAAGAAGCUUUGAUCCGUAGAUUUCCGAAUGGGGCAACCCAAUGUAUAGAGAUAUACAUUACCUAUAUAGGAGCGAACGAGGGGAAUUGAAACAUCUUAGUACCCUCAGGAAAAGAAAUCAAUAGAGAUUGCGUCAGUAGCGGCGAGCGAAAGCGCAAGAGGGCAAACCCAGUGCUUGCACUGGGGGUUGUAGGACUGCAAUGUGCAAGAGGUAAGUUUAGCAGAACAUUCUGGAAAGUAUAACCAUAGAGGGUGAUAGUCCCGUAUGCGAAAAACAAACCUUAGCUAGCAGUAUCCUGAGUAGGGCGGGACACGAGGAAUCCUGUCUGAAUCCGGGUCGACCACGAUCCAACCCUAAAUACUAAUACCAGAUCGAUAGUGCACAAGUACCGUGAGGGAAAGGUGAAAAGAACUGAGGUGAUCAGAGUGAAAUAGAACCUGAAACCAUUUGCUUACAAUCAUUCAGAGCCCUAUGUAGCAAUACAGGGUGAUGGACUGCCUUUUGCAUAAUGAGCCUGCGAGUUGUGGUGUCUGGCAAGGUUAAGCAAACGCGAAGCCGUAGCGAAAGCGAGUCUGAAUAGGGCGCUUAGUCAGAUGCUGCAGACCCGAAACGAAGUGAUCUAUCCAUGAGCAAGUUGAAGCUAGUGUAAGAACUAGUGGAGGACUGAACCCAUAGGCGUUGAAAAGCCCCGGGAUGACUUGUGGAUAGGGGUGAAAGGCCAAUCAAACUUCGUGAUAGCUGGUUCUCUCCGAAAUAUAUUUAGGUAUAGCGUUGUGUCGUAAUAUAAGGGGGUAGAGCACUGAAUGGGCUAGGGCAUACACCAAUGUACCAAACCCUAUCAAACUCCGAAUACCUUAUAUGUAAUCACAGCAGUCAGGCGGCGAGUGAUAAAAUCCGUCGUCAAGAGGGAAACAACCCAGACUACCAGCUAAGGUCCCUAAAUCUUACUUAAGUGGAAAACGAUGUGAAGUUACUUAAACAACCAGGAGGUUGGCUUAGAAGCAGCCAUCCUUUAAAGAAAGCGUAAUAGCUCACUGGUCUAGUGAUUUUGCGCGGAAAAUAUAACGGGGCUAAAGUAAGUACCGAAGCUGUAGACUUAGUUUACUAAGUGGUAGGAGAGCGUUCUAUUUGCGUCGAAGGUAUACCGGUAAGGAGUGCUGGAGCGAAUAGAAGUGAGCAUGCAGGCAUGAGUAGCGAUAAUUAAUGUGAGAAUCAUUAACGCCGUAAACCCAAGGUUUCCUACGCGAUGCUCGUCAUCGUAGGGUUAGUCGGGUCCUAAGUCGAGUCCGAAAGGGGUAGACGAUGGCAAAUUGGUUAAUAUUCCAAUACCAACAUUAGUGUGCGAUGGAAGGACGCUUAGGGCUAAGGGGGCUAGCGGAUGGAAGUGCUAGUCUAAGGUCGUAGGAGGUUAUAUAGGCAAAUCCGUAUAACAAUACUCCGAGAACUGAAAGGCUUUUUGAAGUCUUCGGAUGGAUAGAAGAACCCCUGAUGCCGUCGAGCCAAGAAAAGUUUCUAAGUUUAGCUAAUGUUGCCCGUACCGUAAACCGACACAGGUGGGUGGGAUGAGUAUUCUAAGGCGCGUGGAAGAACUCUCUUUAAGGAACUCUGCAAAAUAGCACCGUAUCUUCGGUAUAAGGUGUGGUUAGCUUUGUAUUAGGAUUUACUCCGAAAGCAAGGAAACUUACAACAAAGAGUCCCUCCCGACUGUUUACCAAAAACACAGCACUCUGCUAACUCGUAAGAGGAUGUAUAGGGUGUGACGCCUGCCCGGUGCUCGAAGGUUAAUUGAUGGGGUUAGCAUUAGCGAAGCUCUUGAUCGAAGCCCGAGUAAACGGCGGCCGUAACUAUAACGGUCCUAAGGUAGCGAAAUUCCUUGUCGGUUAAAUACCGACCUGCAUGAAUGGCGUAACGAGAUGGGAGCUGUCUCAAAGAGGGAUCCAGUGAAAUUGUAGUGGAGGUGAAAAUUCCUCCUACCCGCGGCAAGACGGAAAGACCCCGUGGACCUUUACUACAGCUUGACACUGCUACUUGGAUAAGAAUGUGCAGGAUAGGUGGGAGGCUUUGAGUAUAUGACGCCAGUUGUAUAUGAGCCAUUGUUGAGAUACCACUCUUU